GGAGAGGCCACUCAUUACUGGCCCAACUGAAAGUGUUUAGGCUUGACAAGCAAAACCAAGCCCCACCUAGAGGAACACAGGUGAAAUGAAUUAAGCUAGUUUUCCAGUAAAGAGAGAGAGAAACCAGGAAGGGGAUAACACAUUUCUUUAGCUUCUUCCUCUGCUGAAGGAAACUUACACUGUGAGAAGAGGCUAUGUGGUCUUUUGCAACGAUGCAGCCUUAGACUAAGGGCUUGAGAGGUGUGGGAUAAAAGUCUGGGACAUCUUGAGUCAAGCUAUUUUAAACUUUUGUCAGAAAAAGUGCCUUAGAAAUCCCCGCUUACAGCAAGUAUCAAAUCCUGCGAGACUGGAGCACCACCUGAACUUGGCCUUCUUCCUACGUGUGGUUUGCCAGUGGCUCUGUGACAAGUACAAGACCUGGAAGAAACCUCCAUCCUCAAAGACUUGGAAAAGGCUGUCCUGGAGCCUGCGUGGAGGUUACAAAAAUCAUCCCUCUGGUGGUGGCCUGAGCAGAUUACUUCAACCCCAAUGUUGCCCUGAACGUUGCAUUCAAGAUUUGAGAAGAUUAGGACUGCUAAGACUUUGUGCAUCUGCCAGUACAGACAUUUUGGACAGUAGUAUUAUGAUGCUGCCUAUCAGCCAACUGCAGUCUUAUGGAAUAGGUACCAUUAUGUUCCCCACUGUGUUGACAAUGGACCUGAGGCUGCUGCUGCUAAGUCACUUCAGUCGUGUCCAACUCUGUGCGACCCCAGAGACGGCAUCCCACCAGGCUCCCCUGUCCCUGGGAUUCUCCAGGCAAGAACACUGGAAUGGGUUGCCAUUUCCUUCUCCAAUACAUGAAAGUGAAAAGGGAAAGUGAAAUCACUCAGUCGUGUCCGACUCCUAGCGACCCCAUGGACUGCAGCCUACCAGGCUCCUCCAUCCAUGGGGUUUUCCAGGCAAGAGUACUAGAGUGGGGUGCCAUUGCCUUCUCCGGACCUGAGGCUAGUGGUUGGUAAUUGUGUGUGGAUGGUUGCACUGAGAUUCUGGCUCUUGUGUCCCCACUCUCACCUUUUACUGCCUUCAAGAAAUGGCUGUCUCUGGACUCUCACCCUUUAGAUGUGAAAGAACUAAUGAUUUCUUUUUGGUGCUUUAUUGAGGAUUUAAAUGGCACAAAGGAUUCUUACUGGGAUUUUAAUGGACAUCAGUAUGAAAUCUCUCAAUGUCCUUUUUUUUUUUAAAAUUUGAGGUGUGACAGUAAUUUUUUGUGCUUCAGUUUUGAGAAAGUUAUGGACUUGAGAUACAUUGAAUAAGGCAAAUGUGCUUAGAAUCAGGACUUUUUAGUGAAUGAGUGUUUUAAUAACUUGGCCUGAGGAAAAGGUGAUGUGUAUGCAGUAAUUCCAUUCCCACAACACAGACACACUGUUUUGCCUUAGUGGAAAAAAGAAAUCUAGGACAUUCUGCCUAUAGGACUAGAAAAGCCUUGAAGGCUUUUCAAUAUGUAGUGUUAGAGAACACUGCUAUUUGAGUGGAUCAAUAGCUUGAGAGAAUGGUGACUUGCCUUUCCUUAUCUGGUCUGAUCACUGUCACAGAAAAAGAGCAAGUUGAGGCUCCAUGAGAUUUUUGACUUGGUUACUUUGGCUAUCAGCUCAGAACCAGCCUUCUGUCAGUCCUUGAGUCUAGGACAAAAGCUUUGCCUUAAAGAUUUCGGAAGGGAUCAAUUAAAUGAGGUAGGCACAUUGUGAAUAUCCCACAUUGGCUUGACUUUUAGGAAGUGGCAACUGUGAGGCGAAUUGUAUGUCACCGACCUCAACACCUGUCUUUAGUAAUGGUAUCAGGAGAGGAGCGGUAAAAGAAAUAAAGAGCACUGAACUGGGAAUGGGGGCUCUACAGUUGCAAGCCUGACUGCCAUCUUUUGGCUUUUUUUUUUUAACCUUUGGCAAAUUACUCUACCUCUCUCUGCUGAGAUAUCUUCCUUUUUAAAAAAUGACAUUGAAGUAAUAAUAAUUGCUUGAAUAAUAAUUACUUUGAAGUAAUAAAAAUGACAUUGAAGUUAUAAUCUUGAGCUUUUAUAGAUCAUUCACUGAACAAAAGUCUACAAACUUCAUUAAGGCAGGGCUGUAUCUCAAUUUAGCUAAAGUAUACCCACUGCCAGACUCAUAGGAGUUGCUUUAGUGCUGAGUAAAUACAGGUUUCUUAAUUAAUGGGUGUCAUUGAUCUUUCCAUCCCACUCCACAGAAGAUACACACUCAAAAAUUUCUGUGCAUUUUCAAAACUUCAUGAACUUCAGAUAACUGGGCCUCAGAUUAAAAACAAAUGUUGCCUACACAAUUUUGUUGGCUUUUAAUGUUCUAAGAAUCUAAUAAAGGCCCUGUUACAAUGAUAUGUAAAAGGAAUAAAAGAAAAUAUAAAUGGGAAAGUAACUUGUGCCCGUGAAUUGGAAGAUUUAACAGUGUUAAAAUGUCCAUGCUAUGGAAAGUGAUCUACAGAUUCAAUGCAAUCUCUAUCAAGGUCCCAAUGAUAAUUUCUUCAGAAAUAGAGAAAAACACCCUAAAAUUCAUAUGUAAUCUCAAAAAAUACCGAAUAGUUAAAAUAGACUUGAAAAAAAAGAACAAAGGUGAAGACCUCAUACUUCAUGAUUUCAAACAGUAAUCAAGAACCUGUGAUACUGACAUAAAGACAGAUACAUAGUCCAGUGGAAAAGAGUAGAGCACAAAGAUAAACCUUCAUGUAAGUGGCAGAUGAUUUUCAACAAAGGUACCAAGACUAUGCAAUGGGGAAGGACAAUCUCUUUAACUAAUUAGAUAUCUAUAUGCAGAAAAAUGAAAUUGUUCCUUACCUUAUACCAUAUACAGAUAUUAACUCAUAACAUUUGUGAUUGCAAAUGAGUCCAGUUUGGGAGUUAAUGCAAUGAGUGUUUUCUAAGGGGAAAAUGUGUUAUUAAAAUCAAAUAAUUGCUUUAGGCUACAGGAGAGAAGAGGACAAACCUAUAGUUCCCAAGAUUUUUUUUUAAUGUAAUAAAUGCUUUAUCACUUUUAGUUUUCUCAUCC
ensembl:lncRNA